rnacentral:SRP_RNA from 1 species
GCCAGGCGUGGUGGCGGGCGCCUGUAGUCCCAGCUACUCGGGAGGCUGAGGCAGGAGAAUCGCUUGAACCCGGGGGGUGGAGGUUGCAGUGAGCCAAGAUCACGCCACUGCACUCCAGCCUGGGUGACAGAGCGAGACUCUGUCUCAG